UUUAGGAAGAUUCUUUUGUUAAAAUGUUUUCUUUCAUUAUUUGAUUUAUUUUUCUGUGAAAAACAACCUGAUGCUUUGAAUGUUUUAAGCAUCCUUCUUCCUUAUUCUACGGCAGGCUCAGCUAACGUCAACUUUACUGUUUGGGCACAGAGUGGUUGCUAUAAGUGGAGUUCUUCAAGACCAAAGAUUGCCGAAAUUCGACCUGUUAUUGGUAUUUCACCAAAGAAAAGUCAAAAUGACUGUAGUCAAAAGGCAAUAGUCACAUCACAGUCAUCAAAACCUGAAAAGCAAACUGCAAUAAUUGUUGCUGAAGAGAAAGGGUUUAAUGGGGCAGCAGUAUCAUUGUUGAAGGCCUAACAACAGGAACAGCACUGGUCAGAGCAAAAUUAAGUCAUCCAACCUUCCAGGAUGUUCAAUCUGACGAAGUAAAGUUAUUGGUGAUUGAUAACUUAAUAAUUCCAUCGAGGGAUGUCUACAUUGUGAUAAAUACUGCUGUCAAAUACACAGUCAAAAGAUUUCGACAAAACUCUAUGAUAGAUGUCGAAAUGCCGUCAACACAAUUUGAGUUUGUUCUAAGCAAUAAAACUGUUGCAGUUCUUCAUG